rnacentral:rRNA from 1 species
UACAGAGGGGGCAAGCGUUGUUCGGAAUUACUGGGCGUAAAGGGCGCGUAGGCGGCCUUGUAAGUCGGACGUGAAAUCCCUGGGCUCAACCCAGGAACUGCAUCCGAUACUGGGAGGCUUGAAUCCGGGAGAGGGAUGUGGAAUUCCAGGUGUAGCGGUGAAAUGCGUAGAUAUCAUGAGGAAGACCAGUGGCGAAGGCGGGUCUCUGGACAGUUACUGACACUGAGGCACGAAGGCCAGGGGAGCAAACAGG